UGAUCCUGCCAGUAGUCAUAUGCUUGUCUCAAAGGCUAAGCCAUGCAUGUUUAAGUAUUAGUGAUUUAUCAUGAAACUGCGAAUGGCUCAUUAAAACAGUUAUAGUUUACUCAGUUGCAGCUUAUGGAUAUCCGUAGUAAUUCUAGGGCUAAUACAUGAAGCUUAAUGUACUUAUUGUUUAUAGAAUUAUUUUGAUUUUUCAAGUUGUUUGAAAACAAUAAGAAAACAAAUCGUGUGAACGAUAAUCUGAUCAAGUUUCUGACCUAUCAGCUUGUCGGUAAGGUAUUGGCUUACCGAGGCUUUGACGGGUAACGGGGAAUUAGGGUUCGAUUCCGGAGAGGGAGCCUGAGAAACGGCUACCACAUCUAAGGAAGGCAGCAGGCGCGCAAAUUCCCAAUCCUAACUAAGGGAGGUAGUGACAAGAAAUAACAAUAUAGGGCGGAUAUCGUCUUGUAAUUGGAAUGAGUAGAUUGUAAAAUAUAUCUACGAGUAGCAAUUUGGAGGGCAAGUCU
rnacentral:rRNA from 1 species